CGCGGCGGCCGCGGCAGCAGGUCGUUCGCUCGUCGCGCGGUUUAUCCGACAAAGUUUGGAGAUGAGUGAAAAAUCGGAAUGUUACAUUAACGUUUUUCACCGUGAUUUACUUAACGGACGCUUAUCUCUCGAUGGAUAUUUAAGUCAAACGCGUUAUUAAUCGUUAAUCUGAAAAUAAAUUUGGCCAUCUCUCGUUGGCGUUCUCGCGUCCCGAUGAGCGGAGAGCGUGGAGCUUAUGUAGAGUAUACGAGUCCCAUAAUUGUCGGAGCGCGAUUUAACGUGACGGAAUACGCGGAUCGUGUGAAUUAAAUAACGCAGUGCAGCGGUGUGUCGAUGUUCAUUGCAUUUGCAUCUCAUGGAAUUUGCAUGAGUUCGCGAGUGCGUUUCGAGCGUACAUUUUCGGACGGUUGGCUUGCAGGUUAAGUUCAGUUAUAGCGCGUUUUCGAAAUAAUACGGAACGGGUUUUGUCGCUCCGAGAGCGAUUAUAAUAAAGGUCGUCCAACCAGAAAUCUAAAAUAUAGAGCAUGUGAUGCCAUUAAUCGCUCUCGGAGCGAUCAAACCCGCUCCGUGUCCGAAAACGCUAUUAUAGCCAGUGUUGACUCGCGACUCGGCGUUAACUUCGCAAUUUUCGCAUUGACGCGUUCUAACUUCGGGAAUAGCGUGCAAAAGUAUUGUGUGAUCGUCGUCCGCGUUUUCGCGAAUACAUAUACAUACAUUUUUGGAUGAUUCACCGAUCAUGGUUCAGUUGAUAGAUAUCAAUUCGGCGUUAACUUAAUUCGCGUAUUUCGGGAAUGGCACGCAAAGUGUAUCGCGCGAUCGUACGUUACCCGCGUUUUCGAGCGAGCGUCACAUCGAGGGAGUUUCCUACGAAACUGAGAACUCGGAUUCUUUGAUAAUAAUAUUGUCAUAACGAUGCGGACGAUGUCGCGUCGAGGGAAUUCAAUGAAGUUACUUCGAAAAGUCUGAGAGCUAGAGGCUUGGGAAAGGCAUCGGGCUCCGGCGGAGCAACCUUGCGAAUCGUCGUAGCUACGUGGCUGAUUAACUCCGUUGUUGCGCAUCGGUCGGUGAGUAAAAAAAUAUUUUAUUAACAAUAGGUCUUUUGU